UUCCAAAGGCGGUCCUGCCGCCGCAAGAGGAUGGGGCUGCGUCCUAUUAGCUAGUUGGUGAGGUAACGGCCCACCAAGGCUUCGAUGGGUAGCUGGUCUGAGAGGACGACCAGCCACAUUGGGACUGAGAUACGGCCCAGACUCCUACGGGAGGCAGCAGUGGGGAAUCUUGGCCAAUGGACGAAAGUCUGAGCCAGCGACACCGCGUGGGGGAUGACGGCCUUCGGGUUGUAAACCUCUUUUCUGGGGAAAGAAUAAGGACGGGAGGAAAUGCCCGCCCGAUGACGGUACUCCAGGAAUAAGCAUCGGCUAACUCUGUGCCAGCAGCCGCGGUAAGACAGAGGAUGCGAGCGUUAUCCGGAAUUACUGGGCGUAAAGGGCGUCUAGGCGGUUCGGUAAGUCGUUUGUGAAAUCCCUCGGCUCAACCGAGGAGGGCCUUGCGAUACUGCCGAGCUUGGGUGCAGGAGAGGAGGGUGAACUCACAGAGUAGCGGUGGAAUGCGUAGAUACUGUGAGGUACCCCGAUGGCGAAGGCAACCCUCUGGCCUGCUACCGACGCUGAAGCGCGAAAGCGUGGGGAGCAAAGGGGAUUAGAUACCCCCGUAGUCCACGCCCUAAACAAUGUUCACUUGGUGUCGGCCGCUCAUACUGGUCGGUGCCGAAGCUAACGCGUUAAGUGAACCGCCUGAGGAGUACGGCCGCAAGGCUAAAACUCAAGAGAAUUGACGGGUCCCUGCACAAGCGGUGGAGCACGUGGUUUAAUUCGAUGAUAAACGAAGAACCUCACCCAGGCUUGACAUACUAGUGGUAGGAACCUGAAAGGGGGACGACCCUGCCUUCGGGUAGGGAGCUAGUACAGGUGAUGCAUGGCUGUCGUCAGCUCGUGUCGUGGGAUGUUGGGUUCAGUCCCGAAACGAGCGCAACCCUUGUCGUUAGUUGCCAGCGGGUAAUGCCGGGGACUCUAACGAGACUGCUGGUGAAUAGCCGGAGGAAGGCGGGGAUGACGUCAAGUCAUCAUGUCCCUUACGCCUGGGGCGACACACAUGCUACAAUGGGGGGUACAGAGGGUCGCAAUCCCGUAAGGGGGAGCCAAUCCAUAAAAGCCCCUCUCAGUUCGGAUUGAGGUCUGCAACUCGACCUCAUGAAGGUGGAAUCGCUAGUAAUCGCGGGUCAGCCAUACCGCGGUGAAUAUGUACUCAGGGAUUGUACACACCGCCCGUCACACCAACCGAGUGGGGGGUACCUGAAGUCGCUCUUCUAAGGGCGCCUAAGGUAACUUCCGCAAGAGGGGUGAAGUCGUAACAAGGUA
rnacentral:rRNA from 1 species